rnacentral:lncRNA from 1 species
UAAUACACAGCCAUCCUAUUAGCCAGUGACAGCAUUAUCUUCCAGUUGCAGAAGCUUGGGGCAGGAUAAGAGCCUUGCUCAGUCAGAUCAAGUUUGCACUUCCUAAUUCAACAGUUCUCACUCUGAAAAAGAGGUUAGCCUGUUAAGAACAUUUCUCAUCAGUUAAUAGAUGUGGAACACAUGGAUCCAUUCAAAGAAAGGGAAAUGCUUUUGUAAAAGUCUACAGUGUCUCAGAAGAAGAGAUUGUGAAUUGCUACUGAGAGAUCAAAAGAUUUGGUGGUCAGAAACUUUUCUACAUAAACAGACAAAACAACAUUAAAGCAGUAUCUUUGGCUUCUGAGGAUUAGUCCAGACCUCAUCACCACCACUACCAGGAAAGCCUCCAGGGAACAAUUUGCAUAUUUCUGUAUUCUGGGAGCAAGUGGAGAGUCACUGUGAACAAGAAGGUAACUGAUGUCAAAAACUGGCAUGUUUGUAUCUUGCAUUGGAAGGAUUCUGGGCUGUUUAAUAGUUUCACAAGAGAACAUCAACUGACUAUAGACAACAUAGAAUCUAUCUGCAGUGAAUGUAGUUUGUUUGCAUUCUUGCUAGAGGAUAAUUAAUCUACGCUUGCCACAAAUUUAAGCUUGUAGCCCUACUGGAAGAAAAAGUGCAAGUCCUUAAGCAGAGCGUGGCUACUUUGAAGCUCCUCAGGGAAGACGAGAACUUCCUUAAGAUAAUGGGUGAAACUCUUCAGAAUGAUCAAAUAAGAGAAGAAAAUUCCAGAGAACCAAUGGAACUAGAGAUGUGACUGAUAGGCUGGCCAAGACUCUUUAGUCCUAUAGGCUGCUAUUCAUUUCUACUAAUAUAUGUAGGGACAAAUGACACCACAAGAAGAGGCUUUGCAGAAAUCUGCAGUGACUUCAAAGACCUUGGCAGGAACGUGAAGGAACUGGGAGUGCAGGUUGUCAUCUCAUCUAUCCUUCCAGUGUAUGGUCAUGGAACAAAGAAGAUGGAACAGGAUUCUAGAGUUGAACAAGUUGCUACAUCGAUAGUGCUAUCAGCAAGGAUUUGGAUUUCUAAACCCUGGAGUGUGAUACUUAUAUGAAGGACUCCUUACAAGAGAUGGGCUGCAUCUUAGAAACAUAGGAGAGAAUUUGUUUAGCAG